rnacentral:rRNA from 1 species
AUACGUAGGGUGCGAGCGUUGUCCGGAAUUACUGGGCGUAAAGAGCUUGUAGGUGGUUUGUCGCGUCGUCUGUGAAAUUCCGGGGCUUAACUCCGGGCGUGCAGGCGAUACGGGCAUAACUUGAGUACUGUAGGGGAGACUGGAAUUCCUGGUGUAGCGGUGAAAUGCGUAGAUAUCAGGAGGAACACCGGUGGCGAAGGCGGGUCUCUGGGCAGUAACUGACGCUGAGGAGCGAAAGCAUGGGUAGCGAACAGGAUUAGAUACCCUGGUAGUCCAUGCCGUAAACGGUGGGCGCUAGGUGUAGGGGUCUUCCACGACUUCUGUGCCGUAGCUAACGCAUUAAGCGCCCCGCCUGGGGAGUACGGCCGCAAGGCUAAAACUCAAAUGAAUUGACGGGG